GUCUACCCAUUAACUAACUAGGAUUCUCUAGGGUUUUACGGUAGGCUCGUGAUCGUGUUUGGGGUUCCCUGAUCUGUUUGUGCUCAGGGUUUGUUCAGUGUCUGUGUAUGGCUAUGGUGUCUGUGUAUGGCGAUUAGGUAGCGUUUAUUUCUUGGUCAUGGUUCGGCUUGUGUUCUGCUAGGUUUCGAUUUGUCAAUUUUUCACUGGCUUGUGCCUCGAGUUGCUGUUUGUAUGUUUGAUUUUUGGAAUACAUCUGCUGAUUUAGUGGUCCAAUAGGUUAAAUCUUGGGGUCUGCAGUCUGCUUGUGUUCAAUUUUGGGGAUUCGUGGUCCUAUUAUAUGUGAUUUGUGUUCUGCUAGAUUCCAUUUGUAUACUGUUAGCAAAAGGAUUUGGUAAGUUGUGUUCUGUUGGGAGGUAGCACCUAGUGAAACAGGGAAUUAGAAAGUUGGCUAGCUGUAAGGAAAGCUUCGUUUGUUGGUAGAAACAAUGGAAGGUAAUGGAAGGUUACCGAUGUUGCAGUGUGUCUGUCUGUGUGGGUGAGUAGUUAGGUCAGGUGCUACCUUGACAAGAAGUUUCUUUCUGCAUAUCUAGGAUGCCCUUGGCUACUGCUAACUGGGCCCAUCAAUUAACAAUAGGAAAUAUUAAGCGAAAUAUCUAAGGUUCCUUUUUACUUUUCAUGACUGUUUUUGUGAUCCGGAUAUCAAAAUUCAAUGUGAUUUCUUAUGUUCAACUAUCAUUUUUUUUGACUUGGAUUGACCAGACAAAGUAAUUUUUGAUCUUCAUGACUGUAUUUCAGUUGCAUUGAGGUCAGUUAAACUAAUUUUAACUUUUGCUCUACUAGUCCUAGUUGACAUCAAUGGAGUACCUUUUUUCUAUACGUGUACUUCCUAAACUAAAGAAUUUUCAGCAUUGUGUAUGUUCUCUAAACUAAAGCAGAUUCAAGAAAAUAUCUAAUUCAGGUUUUAUUUCAGUUCCACUCUAAGGAUUCCAAGUUGCUGGUUACCAAAUUGGAUUGCUUAAUUUCUAGAAACCUAAAUGCUCCUUCCACAAUAUGUUUAUCAGCAUUUUUCAAUUGACAUCAAUUGCACUUUUUUUAAACAGUUAUAACAGAGCUAAACAAAGGUACUUACAGAGGAAGGAUGACUAGGUUUGUCCGGUCCAGCAUCUCAUCUCAGCUGCAGAAGCAGGGUCUUUGUUGUCUCAGAUACUCUUUGAACAUAUGUGACUUUGGGGGAUAGAAAGACUAUCUGGUCUUAUUUGGAGCUACAAAUUACUUUGAGCAGACUGAUGGGUUAGUUUGGAUGGUUGAUAAUCCACACGUAUGAAGGCUUGCUGAUUGCUGUGUAGAACUCCACAAACUCCUAAAAGAAGAGGAUACUGAUUAUAAACAUUGAUGCAUAUGUAAAUGAUUCCACCCCCUCCUCAGCAUUUUUCGCUGUACUUUGCUGCGCAGAAAUGAAAAAGCCAAGGAUUCAUUGAGGGACGGUGGGAGAAACCUUUGUGGAAAGAGGACAGUCCCCUCCUGAAUCAUCAGGUGAAGAACAGUUCUCUUCAUUUUGGUUUUUUGUUCUUUUUUCAAUUUUUAUAUGCCAACUUUAUGAGAUCUAUCCAUAGUGUUUAUUUUUUAAUCAAAUGGGGAUUAAGCCCCCCACUGUACCUUUUGUUUUCCCCGAUCUAUGUUUCCUUCUGAGAUGCAGCCAAGGGUUCAUUGAGGGGAGAAAAAUUUGUAGGAAAGAUCACCGCCCCUUCCUGAAUCAUCAGGUGACCCUAUUUUGGUCGUGCCUCCUGUUGCUCUAUGCCAUUGAGUUCCAAGUGGACACAACUCCUGCUGUUUUGUGCAGAAUUCAAAAUCUGUGUCCUUGUUAAAAAUGCUCAAAAUAGGUUACAAGCUUCUGUAGUCUUUUACUGCGAAAUAUUGGGCAUAUGUAUAUGCCCAAAAUAGAUUGUCUAUGUGUAUAUGUUGUAUGUUUGUGUGAAAUGGAUGUUCCUUUCUUUCCUCAAAAUUUGAAAAUAUAUAUAUUAACAGACAGUUGGCGUCA